AGAGAGAGACAUGCGUGCAUAUCAAUAAGCGGAGGAAAAGAAACUAACUAGGAUUCCCUCAGUAACGGCGAGUGAAGCGGGAAGAGCUCAAAUUUGAAAUCUUCAAGGUUCUACCUUGACGAAUUGUAGUUUAAAGAAGUGUUUUCUGUUGGAGUUUUGGUAAAAGUUCUUUGGAAUAGGACAUCAUAGAGGGUGAGAAUCCCGUAUUUGACCAUUAUUUCCAGCUUUGUGACUACACUUUCAAAGAGUCGGAUUGUUUGGGAAUGCAGUCCAAAAUGGGUGGUAAAUUUCAUCUAAAGCUAAAUACUGGCGAGAGACCGAUAGCGAACAAGUACCGUGAGGGAAAGAUGAAAAGAACUUUGAAAAGAGAGUUAAACAGUACGUGAAAUUGUCAAAAGGGAAGCGUUUGACACCAGUGUUGUUUUCUCGAAAAUCAAUUAAAAAAGGCAGGAUUUUGUGUUGUAUUGACUUUAUCAGCUUUCUGCACUCUUUUCUUGUCUUUUUUAAUGCACUUUUCGUUUAACAAGUCAACAUCAAUUUCUUUUGUUGUAAAAGGGUCAUUGGAAGGUGGCUUUCUUUUCGGAGAAAGUGUUUAUAGCCUUUGGCCUCUGCAAUCGGAGAGAUUGAGGUCUGCAGCGUAGAUCCUUCGGGGUUAGAUACAUUUGUGCUAAGUUAUAGCCUUUCAUAGACAACUUGUUGACUAUGAUCAGUCAUGUAGCUUACUCGCUUAUGCUAUUUUACCUACGCUUAGGAUGUUGAUGUGAUACUGCGAGCA
rnacentral:rRNA from 1 species